GUAGGUGGGCAAGCGUUGUCCGGAAUUAUUGGGCGUAAAGCGCGCGCAGGGGUGGUUCUUUAAGUCUGAUGUGAAAGCCCCCGGGCUCAACCGGGGAGGGUCAUUGGAAACUGGGGAACUUGAGUGCAGGAGAGGAAAGUGGAAUUCCACGUGUAGCGGUGAAAUGCGUAGAUAUGUGGAGGAACACCAGUGGCGAAGGCGACUUUCUGGCCUGUAACUGACACUGAGGCGCGAAAGCGUGGGGAGCAAACAGGAUUAGAUACCCUGGUAGUCCACGCCGUAAACGAUGAGUGCUAAGUGUUGGGGGGUUUCCGCCCCUCAGUGCUGCAGCUAACGCAUUAAGCACUCCGCCUGGGGAGUACGGUCGCAAGACUG
rnacentral:rRNA from 1 species